rnacentral:rRNA from 1 species
GGACGAACGCUGGCGGCGUGCUUAACACAUGCAAGUCGAACGGAAAGGCCCUGCUUUUGUGGGGUGCUCGAGUGGCGAACGGGUGAGUAACACGUGAGUAACCUGCCCUUGACUUUGGGAUAACUUCAGGAAACUGGGGCUAAUACCGGAUAGGAGCUCCUGCUGCAUGGUGGGGGUUGGAAAGUUUCGGCGGUUGGGGAUGGACUCGCGGCUUAUCAGCUUGUUGGUGGGGUAGUGGCUUACCAAGGCUUUGACGGGUAGCCGGCCUGAGAGGGUGACCGGCCACAUUGGGACUGAGAUACGGCCCAGACUCCUACGGGAGGCAGCAGUGGGGAAUAUUGCACAAUGGGCGGAAGCCUGAUGCAGCAACGCCGCGUGCGGGAUGACGGCCUUCGGGUUGUAAACCGCUUUCGCCUGUGACGAAGCGUGAGUGACGGUAAUGGGUAAAGAAGCACCGGCUAACUACGUGCCAGCAGCCGCGGUGAUACGUAGGGUGCGAGCGUUGUCCGGAUUUAUUGGGCGUAAAGGGCUCGUAGGUGGUUGAUCGCGUCGGAAGUGUAAUCUUGGGGCUUAACCCUGAGCGUGCUUUCGAUACGGGUUGACUUGAGGAAGGUAGGGGAGAAUGGAAUUCCUGGUGGAGCGGUGGAAUGCGCAGAUAUCAGGAGGAACACCAGUGGCGAAGGCGGUUCUCUGGGCCUUUCCUGACGCUGAGGAGCGAAAGCGUGGGGAGCGAACAGGCUUAGAUACCCUGGUAGUCCACGCUGUAAACGGUGGGUACUAGGUGUGGGGUCCAUUCCACGGGUUCCGUGCCGUAGCUAACGCUUUAAGUACCCCGCCUGGGGAGUACGGCCGCAAGGCUAAAACUCAAAGGAAUUGACGGGGCCCCGCACAAGCGGCGGAGCAUGCGGAUUAAUUCGAUGCAACGCGUAGAACCUUACCUGGGUUUGACAUGGAUCGGGAGUGCUCAGAGAUGGGUGUGCCUCUUUUGGGGUCGGUUCACAGGUGGUGCAUGGCUGUCGUCAGCUCGUGUCGUGAGAUGUUGGGUUAAGUCCCGCAACGAGCGCAACCCUUGUUCACUGUUGCCAGCACGUUAUGGUGGGGACUCAGUGGAGACCGCCGGGGUCAACUCGGAGGAAGGUGGGGAUGACGUCAAGUCAUCAUGCCCCUUAUGUCCAGGGCUUCACGCAUGCUACAAUGGCUGGUACAGAGAGUGGCGAGCCUGUGAGGGUGAGCGAAUCUCGGAAAGCCGGUCUCAGUUCGGAUUGGAGUCUGCAACUCGACCUCAUGAAGUCGGAGUCGCUAGUAAUCGCAGAUCAGCAACGCUGCGGUGAAUACGUUCCCGGGGCUUGUACACACCGCCCGUCAAGUCAUGAAAGUUGGUAACACCCGAAGCCGGUGGCCUAACCGUUGUGGGGGAGCCGUCGAAGGUGGGACUGGUGAUU